rnacentral:lncRNA from 1 species
GUUUAAUUUAACCACAGCAUUCAUUUAUGUCUAGCAGUUAAAUUUUUUCUUUUAAGCUCAAAGGAACUGUGAGUUGUAACUAUGAUCUAAUUGGUAAGGAAUGAAGAAUGUUUUUCAUGUUUUAUAGACAACAUGAAUCCUGAUCACUUUACAGCAGUAAAUUAUGAAGUACUCCACUUGUUGUGUCUCCCUGUGGAAGCCAGGGCUUAGCUCAUUAAACUAUAAAAAUAACUUGCUGGGUUCGGCAGCUUCUAGAAAGGCUCUCUGACAAGCUACAUUUCACUGGCUUCCUGGUUCCUUUCUGCAACGCAAAUGACCUGUACAACACUUGUGACAUGUCAAACCAGUCUUCUACGCGGGGAGAAAAAGGGCAUACAAGUCGGGAGUGCCUGGUUUCCUGAUGGCUUAAAGAGAAAUAAAGAAUGACCUUUGGGACAUUUGAAAACAAGGAGCAAAAAUCAUCUGUCCACUCUCCCCAUUGUGAAAGACCUUAAAAAAUUAAGUGCUAAUGAUCUACUGUUUAAUAUGCAUACUAAAUUACCUCUUACCUAAUAAACCAGGUAACUUACUUAAUUUUACUGGAAGAAAAAUUACUAUAAAUUUUAUACUUUUUCUCUUGGCCUUAAAGAGUCAAAUAUCCAGUUGCAAAUAACUUGAAAAUCAUGCCCACAGCUCAUGACUGGAGGAAGUUAGAAAAAGACUGUGAUACAAAAUGUGUAGCCUGCAGAGUUUGCUAUCGAGCCCUGUAAUGAUCGAUUCCAUUCACUUGACUCUGAUUCUAUAGUGAAUAGACUCUUUAGCAAGGACUUAGCAGCAGCAAUUUCAACAGAACAUUUUUUUUCCAUGAUUAGAACAACAGCCAUGUACUUAGACUGCAACUCUAAGUUCUACUUACCACAGAGUUAUUUUACCUGUAUUCCUUAUAUUUACAAAGUCAAAUAAAAACAACCUCUGUUAUCAGAAUACUGUUAGGAUUUACUGGUAAAAUAUUAAAUACCAUGUACCAUGACAAUAGAUUACAUGAACAGUUAUCCUAUAA